UAAAGAAGUCCGUAAAAUCAAGUCAAUGGAAAAUCGGGCUUGGAGAACCACAAGUAAAAGAUUACAGAAGUUCGUCCGCAAAAUCAAGUCCAACUCUCCGCUUAUCGCCUCAUAUGGAUGAAGAUUCGCCGCCUGCCAAAGAUUAAAAAAAACCAUACACCUCUACUCAUCGUUUCAGCAUAAUGGGAUACUUCCGUAGGCCAAUGUUGUCCGCACACCGGCAUAGCAGAAAUUUUUAUUUAUUUAUAUGUAUGUUAUAUAUCAUUAGCGGGGCUUUUUAUUGAUUACGUAUUUUUACGUAUUAUUACGUAUUACUAUCUAUUAUUAUUAUUAUUAUUUUUGUAAAUACUAUUGCAAUUUCUAAUUAAUUCUAUAAUGGUGUAGACCUACUGGGGAGCCAGCCAUUUAAAACAAUUGGCAACGUGCCUAUCACGGUACCCCAAGGGUGGUGCGGAAAAUCGUAAAAACUAGGCUCCGCACAUUCUCGUAUUUGCGGUUUUGCGGAAGAAGCCUUCGAUCUAGCUCAACGCCGUAACAAAUUAGAACUUCACGGCGAGCUACUAGAACGUUACCAAAACUUUAUUUCUCGGAUCUGGCAUUUUAUUAAGAUAUGCUGGAGUCUCAUUAGCAAAAUCAUCGCAAGUCGGACAAUAGAUUUCCGAUAUUUCUGGCGCAUUUACGUCACUACGCAAAACCCAACCUCUUGUGCAUUUUUUCCCCGUUUUGAUACAGUUACCAGCCCAGCCGGUCGUUUUAUUUGUUGUUUUUUUAGGUGUCGCUGGGGAAUUUUUAGGUACGCUUGUCACUUCAACAUUGGCAUCUAAAGCGUCUGCAACUACUUCAAUUGUUUGAUUGUUUCCACACCGACAGCGGUGUUCUCUUUUGAGUUAUCCUCACCUUCACUUUCAGACCUGAUCGUACUCUUCCAGUUAGAGUGAUUAUGGAGUUGUUCCUUUGAUGCCGAGAAAGCAGGAAGUAGAUCUACAAUUAAUUGCGAAAUCAAAAGAGCAAAGAAAUAGUGUAUAAAACAUAAUAAAAUACAUCUAAAGUGAAUGAUAAUGAAACGGCAUUGGAUAUGUGGGCUCUGGGUUGCAUUCUAGGAGAAUUAUUAUCGCAUAAGCCCUUAUUGCCCGGCAACAUAGAAAUAGCUCAGCUUUAACUGAUUGUUGGCCUAUUAGGAACUCGUUCAAAAGCCAGAUUUUCCAAGAUGCCAGCCAUACAAAAUUUCGCUCUUAAACAACAGCUCUAUAACAAUCUAAAACCAAAGUUUCAAUAUCUGUCAGCGGCAGGUUUAAGACUUUUAAAUUUUCUCUUUAUGUUACAGAGGGCACGGCCAUCUUGGAAUUGCCAUUAACCAAAAUACCCAUUAAAACGGAAAAGCAGGCUUUGAAAACUCUCAAUAUAUGUUCUAAAAAGCUGAAGAGGAAAUCUGCAAGGUACAAGCAAAAAAAUCUUUCACCGAAGAACGUUAUGAGAAUGCUUUGGAAUAGGCGAUAAGAUCUAGGGAUACUUUGUAUGUUGCUUCUAUCGCCGACUACCUACUAAAGGAACAUUUUUACGUCCGUCAUGGGUUUUCUUCGCAAAAUGCGUUUCGUGUUACAAUUGAAGGCUAAAUGCGUUAAGAACUGAAUUAAUCAGCGAGGUAGGUGUGUCGUACUAUGUCGGGCGACUCGAAUCCUAAAUAUAUAUAUGUAUGUAUAUAUAUCUAUAUACAUAUCGACGAGUAGAUCUGUGCUC